CGGACGGGGGAGUAAUGUCUGGGAAACGUGCCUGAUGGAGGGGGGUAACUACUGGAAACGGUAGCUAAUACCGCAUAACGUCGCAAGACCAAAGAGGGGGACCUUAGGGCCUCUUGCCAUCGGAUGUGCCCAGAUGGGAUUAGCUAGUAGGUGGGGUAACGGCUCACCUAGGCGACGAUCCCUAGCUGGUCUGAGAGGAUGACCAGCCACACUGGAACUGAGACACGGUCCAG
rnacentral:rRNA from 1 species